UAAGACAGCAGGACGGUGGUCAUG
rnacentral:ncRNA from 2 species